AUCACUGGAGGACUGCGGAGGCGGAGACUGGGGAUUGGGUCCUCUGGGUGAGUGUAGGAAGUCCCUAGAUAGCGCGAAAUAAUCUGAAGGCUGUCUUCUUUUUUUCUUUUUGACACAGCACCCCUCCAACGCUAGUGUUGCUCCCAGCUGGUGACCAGGGACCCGUGCAUGCAGAGAGACGGGACGAACAAUGGUCAGUUUCCCCGUAGUGACCAGCGCUGGAGGGAAGAGCUCCCCAGCCAGCGGAUGACGGCAGGUGCCGGAUAAAGAAACAGAGGGAGAGACACCGGAGCACCAGUAUUUCCUCUGUGGCUUGGCAUACCCAUGUGGGGCUGAGGCUUGAAACUGACACAGCAUGACAGACAGACGAUUAAGUGAGAUAUCCUCCAGUCUGAAGCAAAACAACACUGCUCAGCUUCUGACUUAUCUUGGUACCAGGGAUUAGAUCUGAGACCUUUGAUAUCUCAGGCAUAAAAGUCUGUUCCUUAAACCACUAUGCUGUUCCCCCAGCCCUAAAACAUUUUUUUUAUUACUGCAGAGAGACAGAAAUUGGGAGGGGAGAAAGAGAGUGAAAGAGACAGAAAAAUACCUGCAACCCUACUUCACCACUUGUGAGGUUUUCCCCUUCCAGGUGGGGACCAGGGGCUUGAACCUGGGUCGGUCCUUACACACUGUAAUGUGUGUGCUUAACCAGGUACACCACUGCCUGGCCCUAAAACCUUUUUUUUUUUUUUAUUUUGGUAGACUACACACAUUAUCAAGCACAAGGACCUGGGUUCAAGCCUCCAGUCCCCACCUACAGCAGGAGGCUUCAGAAGUAGUGGACAGAAGUGGUUUGUCUCCCCACCACAAACACUCCAAUUUCUCUAUCAUAAAAAAUAAAUAAAUGUGCUCUGGGAGGUGGAGCAGUGGCUCAGGCACUAGACUCUCAAACAUGAGGUCCUGAGUUCAAUACCCGGCAGCACAUGUACCACCAUGAUGUCUGGUUCUUUCUCUCCUAUCUUUCUCAUUAAUAAAUAAAUUAAAAAUAUUUUUAAAAAAAUAAAAAUAAAUAAAUAGGAGCAGGGGGUAGACAGCAUAAUGGUUAUGCAAACUGACUCUCAUGCCUGAAGCUCCAAAGUCCCAGAUUCAAUCCUCUGCACCACCAUAAGCCAGAGCUGAGCAGUGCUCUGGUAA